rnacentral:misc_RNA from 1 species
AAGUCGUAACAAGGUUUCCGUAGGUGAACCUGCGGAAGGAUCAUUAUAAAAUAAAACAAAGCAAUCUUUGCUUUUAUAAAUAACUAUUUUAUUAGAUUAGGUAUCUAGUUAAUAACUAUUUACCGAAAUAAUUUAAUAUACUAUUGUAGAGCUUUUUUAGGUUUACCCUAAUAAUCUCUAUAAACCAAUAAAUCAAUAAUCCUUUAAAUUACUAGUCUAAUUAUUUAGAUAAAUAAUUUAAAGUGGUAUAGAAAGUGAGGAGUACUAUUAGAUAUAAUAUUUUAUAUUGAUAUAGGAGACUCAUGCAAAACUUUAUAACCAGAAUUCAUUUUACAUUUAUUUAAUAAAAACAAAUAACUUUUAACAAUGGAUCUCUUGGCUAAU